rnacentral:rRNA from 1 species
CGGGGUGCACCAGGCGCGAAAACUUUACAAUGCGGGAAACCGUGAUAAGGGGACACCGAGUGCCAGCAUCAUAUGCUGGCUGUCCAGGUGUGUAAAAUACACCUGUUAGCAAGGGCCGGGCAAGACCGGUGCCAGCCGCCGCGGUAACACCGGCGGCCCGAGUGGUGAUCGUGAUUAUUGGGUCUAAAGGGUCCGUAGCCGGUUUGGUCAGUCCUCCGGGAAAUCUGAUAGCUCAACUAUUAGGCUUUCGGGGGAUACUGCCAGACUUGGAACCGGGAGAGGUAAGAGGUACUACAGGGGUAGGAGUGAAAUCUUGUAAUCCCUGUGGGACCACCUGUGGCGAAGGCGUCUUACCAGAACGGGUUCGACGGUGAGGGACGAAAGCUGGGGGCACGAACCGGAUUAGAUACCCGGGUAGUCCCAGCCGUAAACGAUGCUCGCUAGGUGUCAGACAUGGCGCGACCGUGUCUGGUGCCGCAGGGAAGCCGUGAAGCGAGCCACCUGGGAAGUACGGCCGCAAGGCUGAAACUUAAAGGAAUUGGCGGGGGAGCACAAGG